rnacentral:rRNA from 1 species
AUUGAACGCUGGCGGCAUGCCUAACACAUGCAAGUCGAACGGUAACAGAACUAGCUUGCUAGUUGCUGACGAGUGGCGGACGGGUGAGUAAUGUAUAGGGAUCUGCCUAAUAGUGGGGGACAACGUGUGGAAACGCACGCUAAUACCGCAUACGCUCUACGGAGGAAAGUGGGGGAUCUUCGGACCUCAUGCUAUUAGAUGAACCUAUAUCGGAUUAGCUUGUUGGUGAGGUAAUGGCUCACCAAGGCGACGAUCCGUAGCUGGUUUGAGAGAAUGAUCAGCCACACUGGGACUGAGACACGGCCCAGACUCCUACGGGAGGCAGCAGUGGGGAAUAUUGCACAAUGGACGAAAGUCUGAUGCAGCAAUGCCGCGUGUGUGAAGAAGGCCUUCGGGUUGUAAAGCACUUUCAGAUGUGAGGAAAAGUAGUCUAUUAAUACUAGACUGCCGUGACGUUAACAUCAGAAGAAGGACCGGCUAACUCCGUGCCAGCAGCCGCGGUAAUACGGAGGGUCCAAGCGUUAAUCGGAAUUACUGGGCGUAAAGCGCGCGUAGGCGGAUAUUUAAGUCAGAUGUGAAAUCCCUGGGCUCAACCUAGGAACUGCAUUUGAAACUGGAUAUCUAGAG